UUACGUCUUUUAUUUCUUAUAAACACGACCAAGGGCAGGGAAGGGCAAAGGCAGAGGGGGAGGCUGCUCUGGGGUCUGAACCGCGUGGCCCCCUCGGGAGAGGACCAGACCCCAUCGCCCUGUGGGACUUGGGGUUCAGCCAGGCCCGGAAGGCAGGUUCCAGCAGCAGCUCAGGCCCCUCAGGAAGCACUGUCCUGGGGCAGGGAGCUCUACCCUCAGGCAGGCUUCGGAGGGUCCGGGGUCCCUGCAUGGAGUGCGAAGCUGGACGAGAGACCACUGAGGUGCCUUGGACUCUGAGGUCAGAGGUCAGAGGAAACGCCAGCCAACGAUGUGAGUGGAGGCUGUGCCCGCCGCGCGAAGACGGACGAUCGCUCCAGCUUGCUGUGUGUUCACAGUGCAGCCGUCGCCUCAUUCCUCCCUCGCUCACACAUUCGGUUCUUCACCAAUCUACCAGAAGGUAGGCAAAUCCCGGACCCCAGGCGCGUGGAUCCCUGCAGCCCCGGCCGAUGCACUGCAUCCUCAGGGUCAGGGCUCCCCCAGGCUGGCCCGCAUCCCUCAGCACUGGGCACAUCCGUGACCCACCCCCAGCACAGGCCAGCAGGCUUGUGGGAGUAAGCCGGCACAGCACCGUGCAGCUGGCACCACGCACAGAGGCCACCUCUCCUGCCCCACGUGCUGGUGUCCUGGAGCUGGAAGUGAACCUGGAGCCAAGAGAAGGCCCAGGGAGCCGGUGCUCAGAGCCUUCGGGAGGAGGGCAGACCUGGCUCUGACUGCUGGUGUUUCCCACGGAGGAGCAGCCCCUCACGCCAGGCAGUGACACAGGAGAGAAAAGGUGCAGCUGAGGGGUUCAUGGGACAGAAGCAUGGCUAGACGGCAUGAGGUCAGCCCCAGGGAACCCCCAGAGGGGAAGUUCAACAGAAACAGAGACAGGAGCAGCUCCCCCAAAACCAGGCAGGCUGUGAGCCACCUUCCAGGGUGUCCUGAGAAAGCACAACGUUCCCAGGGGUUCCAGGACCAGAGUGGGGAUGGAGGGAGGAUGGGGCAGGGAUGGAGGCAGGAUGGCAUGGGGGUGGAGGAGUACCUGGUCAGGUUGGAGGGGGAGAGGGUGGCAUCUGGAUUGCACAACCAGGUGUUCUGGGACCUGGGCCACAUUUGAGAUCCUGGAGAGGGCAAGUAAAGAGCAGGGCUGUGGGAGGGGAGGUCCAGACAUUGUGUCUUCAAGGACAGAGCCCAUGACCCACAGAGUCAUCAGUCACCUCCCACCACCCCAACCUUUCCCCCUCCAUGGCUGAGGAAACCACAGGCACGGGGCCAGGGAGAGCCCACAGCAUGGAACCCAGUCAACCUGGAGCCAGACCCUGACCGGGGCCCAGGCUGCACCGUGAGGACCGUGGAGGAGGUUGAAGCGUCGUGUCUGCACGCAGAGUCAAGAACUGGCCUUGGGACAGAUGUAGAAGUCCCCAGGGCACCAGGCUGCCACUCUCCUCUCCACUCCUCUGUCUCACGCUUUCUCAGAUAAGCAUGCGUUGCUCUCAUGGAAAAACCUACUUACAAAAUAAAGUAUCACUGUUUUUCAAAACCA